GACGAACGCUGGCGGCGUGCCUAAUACAUGCAAGUAGGACGCAGUUGCGAACGGGUGAUUAACGCGUAGGUAACUACCUAUUAGAGGGGGAUAACUAUUGGAAACGAUAGCUAAUACCCCAUACUAGUAAAUGUACCUGUGUUGUAUUAGGUAGUAGGUAGGGCAAUGGCCUACCUAGUCAACGAUACCUAGCCGACCUGAGAGGGUGAUCGGCCAAACUGUGACUGAGACACGGCCCAGACUCCUACUGGAGGCAGCAGUAGGGAAUCUUCGGCAAGGGGGGGAACCCUGACCGAGCAACGCCGCGUGAGUGAAGAAGGUUUUCGGAUCGUAAAGCUCUGUUGUUAAGGAAGAGGUAAUUAAAGAGAAAGGGACGGCUAACUACGUGCCAGCAGCCGCGGUAAUAG
rnacentral:rRNA from 1 species